rnacentral:lncRNA from 1 species
UGCUUUGAACGACUAAGGCAGACUAUAUACCAUAUUCACAUCAGAUGGACCUUCAUCAGUCGAUUUUUCUUGAAUCCUCUGUUUCUUUUCUUCAGACUCCUUUGCCAUCUCUGCUGAGGAGUCACUUUCCAUUCGUGUCUCCCUUUCCUUGGGAGGCCAUCUUUCUUGCUUAAUAAUUGUCUCGAGAGAUGCUAUAUUCUCCUCUAGCUCUCUCUGAGUUAUCUUCUCUUCUGGUU